UUCCGGUUGAUCCUGCCGGACCUGACUGCUAUCGGAUUGAUACUAAGCCAUGCGAGUCAUUGUAGCAAUACAAGGCAUACGGCUCAGUAACGCGUAGUCAACCUAACCUAUGGACGGGAAUAACCUCGGGAAACUGAGAAUAAUGCCCGAUAGAACACUAUACCUGGAAUGGUUUGUGUUCCAAAUGAUUUAUCGCCGUAGGAUGGGACUGCGGCCUAUCAGUUUGUUGGUGAGGUAAUGGCCCACCAAGACUAUUACAGGUACGGGCUCUGAGAGGAGUAGCCCGGAGAUGGGUACUGAGACACGGACCCAGGCCCUACGGGGCGCAGCAGUCGCGAAAACUUUGCAAUACACGAAAGUGUGACAGGGCUAUCCCGAGUGCCAUCCGCUGAGGAAGGCUUUUACCCAGUUUAGAACGCUGGGAGAAUAAGGAGAGGGCAAGUCUGGUGUCAGCCGCCGCGGUAAUACCAGCUCUCCGAGUGGUAGGGAUGAUUAUUGGGCUUAAAGCGUCCGUAGCCGGCUUAGCAAGUCUCCUGUUAAAUUCAGCGACCUAAUCGUUGAGCCGCGGGAGAUACUGUUGGGCUAGGAGGCGGGAGGGGCCGACGGUAUUCUCGGGGUAGGGGUGAAAUCCUAUAAUCCCGGGAAGACCACCUGUGGCGAAGGCGGUCUACCAGAACACGUCCGACGGUGAGGGAUGAAAGCUGGGGGAGCAAACCGGAUUAGAUACCCGGGUAGUCCCAGCUGUAAACUAUGCAAACUCAGUGAUGCAUUGGCUUGUGGCCAAUGCAGUGCUGCAGGGAAGCCGUUAAGUUUGCCGCCUGGGAAGUACGUACGCAAGUAUGAAACUUAAAGGAAUUGGCGGGGGAGCACCACAAGGGGUGAAGCCUGCGGUUCAAUUGGAUUCAACGCCGGA
rnacentral:rRNA from 1 species